UCCUACGGGAGGCAGCAGUGGGGAAUAUUGGACAAUGGGGGCAACCCUGAUCCAGCCAUGCCGCGUGUGUGAAGAAGGCUUUCGGGUUGUAAAGCACUUUCAGUGAGGAGGAAAAGAUUGGCGUUAAUAGCGCCGGUAUUUGACGUUACUCACAGAAGAAGCACCGGCUAACUCCGUGCCAGCAGCCGCGGUAAUACGGAGGGUGCAAGCGUUAAUCGGAAUUACUGGGCGUAAAGCGCGCGUAGGCGGUCUGGUCAGUUGGGUGUGAAAUCCCCGGGCUUAACCUGGGAACUGCAUUCAAUACUGCCAGGCUGGAGUAUGGGAGAGGGUAGUGGAAUUCCACGUGUAGCGGUGAAAUGCGUAGAUAUGUGGAGGAACACCCGUGGCGAAGGCGACUGCCUGGCCCAAUACUGACGCUGAGGUGCGAAAGCGUGGGUAGCGAACAGGAUUAGAUACCCUGGUAGUCCACGCCGUAAACAAUGUCAACUAGCCGUUGGGGGACUUGAUUCCUUAGUGGCGCAGCUAACGCGAUAAGUUGACCGCCUGGGGAGUACGGCCGCAAGGUUAAAACUCAAAUGAAUUGACGG
rnacentral:rRNA from 1 species